CAUUAGCGUAUAUUAAAGUUGCUGCGGUUAAAAAGCUCGUAGUUGGAUUUUGGAAAUGAGAGCGACGUGCCUGCCGGAUAGGUGUGUGCCGUUGGUCCAUUUCUUUCCUUUCCGUUGCGGCGCCGGCUCAUUAAUUUGGGCCGGGCUUGUUCGCGCGGAAUCGUUUUCUUUGAAAAAAGGGGAGCGUUCAAAGCAGGCCGACUUUCGGCCGUUGAACAUUCUAGCAUGGGAUAAUGAAAGAAGACUUCUAGUCAAUUUUGUUGGUUUUCAGACCAGAAGUAAUGAUUAACAGGAGCAAUUGGGGAUCUUCGUAUUCAGUUGUCAGAGGUGAAAUUCUUGGAUUAUCGGAAGACGAACUUCUGCGAAAGCAUUGAUCAAGCGUGUUUUCAUUAA
rnacentral:rRNA from 1 species